rnacentral:rRNA from 1 species
AGAGCGAACGCUGGCGGCAGGCCUAAUACAUGCAAGUCGAACGGAUCCUUCGGGAUUAGUGGCGGACGGGUGAGUAACACGUGGGAACGUGCCCUUUGGUUCGGAACAACUCAGGGAAACUUGAGCUAAUACCGGAUGUGCCCUUCGGGGGAAAGAUUUAUCGCCAUUGGAGCGGCCCGCGUCUGAUUAGCUAGUUGGUAGGGUAAAGGCCUACCAAGGCUUCGAUCAGUAGCUGGUCUGAGAGGAUGAUCAGCCACACUGGGACUGAGACACGGCCCAGACUCCUACGGGAGGCAGCAGUAGGGAAUCUUGCGCAAUGGGCGAAAGCCUGACGCAGCCAUGCCGCGUGAAUGAUGAAGGUCUUAGGAUUGUAAAAUUCUUUCAGCGGGGACGAUAAUGACGGUACCCGCAGAAGAAGCCCCGGCUAACUUCGCGCCAGCAGCCGC